rnacentral:rRNA from 1 species
GAAUCGCUAGUAAUCGCGGAUCAGCAUGCCGCGGUGAAUACGUUCCCGGGCCUUGUACACACCGCCCGUCACACCAUGAGAGUUGGCAAUACCCAACGUACGUGAUCUAACCCGCAAGGGAGGAAGCGUCCUAAGGUAGGGUCAGCGAUUGGGGUGAAGUCGUAACAAGGUAGC